GAGAGUAAAACAGUACGUGAAAUUGUUGAAAGGGAAACGAUUGAAGUCAGUCAUGCCGGCGUUGGAUUCAGCUUGCUUCGCGGAGCGGGCGCAUUUCCUCGCAUGGCAGGUCAGCGUCAGUUUUGCGCGGCGUGAAAAGGCUCGGGUAAGGUAGCUCUCUUCGGGGAGUGUUAUAGACCUGGGCAGAUGCGCUGCGCGGGACUGAGGAUUGCAGCGGACAUCCCUUCGGGGGCGCGGCGACCGAACCCUGCUCGGCCACCCGAGUUCGAUAGCGUGCUAACGGACGCGGGAGCGGCAGUGCACCGGAACAGGCAAGCCAGCGGUUCGCUUAGGAUGCUGACGUAAUGGCUUUAAACGA
rnacentral:rRNA from 1 species